UGGGGAAUAUUGCACAAUGGGCGCAAGCCUGAUGCAGCCAUGCCGCGUGUAUGAAGAAGGCCUUCGGGUUGUAAAGUACUUUCAGCGAGGAGGAAGGCGGUAAGGUUAAUAACCUUAUCGAUUGACGUUACUCGCAGAAGAAGCACCGGCUAACUCCGUGCCAGCAGCCGCGGUAAUACGGAGGGUACAAGCGUUAAUCGGAAUUACUGGGCGUAAAGCGCACGCAGGCGGUCUGUCAAGUCGGAUGUGAAAUCCCCGGGCUCAACCUGGGAACUGCAUUCGAAACUGGCAGGCUAGAGUCUUGUAGAGGGGGGUAGAAUUCCAGGUGUAGCGGUGAAAUGCGUAGAGAUCUGGAGGAAUACCGGUGGCGAAGGCGGCCCCCUGGACAAAGACUGACGCUCAGGUGCGAAAGCGUGGGGAGCAAACA
rnacentral:rRNA from 1 species